rnacentral:rRNA from 1 species
UGUGGGGGGCGUGCUAUACAUGCAAGUCGAACGCUUCUUUUCCCACCGGAGCUUGCUCCACCGGGAAAAGAGGAGUGGCGAACGGGUGAGUAACACGUGGGUAACCUGCCCAUCAGAAGGGGAUAACACUUGGAAACAGGUGCUAAUACCGUAUAACAAUCGAAACCGCAUGGUUUCGUUUUGAAAGGCGCUUUACGGUGCCGCUGAUGGAUGGACCCGCGGUGCAUUAGCUAGUUGGUGAGGUAACGGCUCACCAAGGCCACGAUGCAUAGCCGACCUGAGAGGGUGAUCGGCCACAUUGGGACUGAGACACGGCCCAAACUCCUACGGGAGGCAGCAGUAGGGAAUCUUCGGCAAUGGACGAAAGUCUGACCGAGCAACGCCGCGUGAGUGAAGAAGGUUUUCGGAUCGUAAAACUCUGUUGUUAGAGAAGAACAAGGGUGAGAGUAACUGUUCACCCCUUGACGGUAUCUAACCAGAAAGCCACGGCUAACUACGUGCCAGCAGCCGCGGUAAUACGUAGGUGGCAAGCGUUGUCCGGAUUUAUUGGGCGUAAAGCGAGCGCAGGCGGUUUCUUAAGUCUGAUGUGAAAGCCCCCGGCUCAACCGGGGAGGGUCAUUGGAAACUGGGAGACUUGAGUGCAGAAGAGGAGAGUGGAAUUCCAUGUGUAGCGGUGAAAUGCGUAGAUAUAUGGAGGAACACCAGUGGCGAAGGCGGCUCUCUGGUCUGUAACUGACGCUGAGGCUCGAAAGCGUGGGGAGCAAACAGGAUUAGAUACCCUGGUAGUCCACGCCGUAAACGAUGAGUGCUAAGUGUUGGAGGGUUUCCGCCCUUCAGUGCUGCAGCUAACGCAUUAAGCACUCCGCCUGGGGAGUACGACCGCAAGGGUUGAAACUCAAAGGAAUUGACGGGGGGCCCGCACAAG